CUCCGCCUGCGCCCCACGCUCGACCUGCAAAACAAACAAAAAGGUCAAACCCUAGCCGCCAACCCUUCUCGUCCCGAGCCCCGCGCCCCUUCGCCUUGUCUCCUCCCCGCUCAUCCUCUCCUCUCCCACGCCGCCGCCCCCUCUCCUUGUUCGUCUCAGUCGCCUCCUCUCUUCCCCGUGCAGUCGCCCCCUUCCUCCUCCUCUAUCCUCCCUCCCUCGUCACCACGGCCAACCGUCUCCUGCCACUUAGGCCUCAUGGCGGCCGCCGGAUCGGGGUGGAGGCAAAAGGCCAUGGAGAGUCCAACACCUAUGGGCGCAGCAGGGGUCGGUGGAGUGACGGAUGUGGGAGGCGUAGGCGGCUGAGGGAGGCUCAAUGGCGAGGGCAGCACCAGCGAGGAGCUUGGGAAUAUGCAGGCUUUGCCUCAAUCUGGCCCAAUCUCCCCGCCUCUCUCAAGCUCUCCCCGUGCAGCAGGCCUGAGGCAUAGGCUACCAUGGCAAGGCUACAUCCAUGCAUUCUAUGCCUACAACAUGCUAGGUCACUGUCUGAUCUACCAUGUGAUUUGCGGUUCGCGUAAAGUCAUGAAAUCUGAUCCUGAUAGUGGCACGAUUUACUCCUGUUUGACCAAACAGGUAGAAGCCAAAGUUGUUUUACUUGAAUCUGAUGACGUUCCUGCAGCUAUAAGCUAGGAAAUCGACAAAUUCAACAUUGCCAAGCUGGUCUUGUGCUCUUCGUCCAAAAUCAUAUUCCGGUGAGAUUCUUAUUGUGGAUGUUUGAGCAUUGUUUAACCUACUAAAGAAAGACCUCUUAGGGUGAUUAGUUGUAGUACUGUGACAAAUAAUCAAAAAGAUCAUCGUCUUCUCAUUUAAUAUUCUAGCUGCCGGACAAACACUGAAGGUUGCACUGCAACUACUUGACUACAAGUUUUAUGUGGAAUUUCUAUGUACAUCUUGCACAAACUCAGUGACAUCAAGAAUCAUCAUCUCUCACAUUUUUUUCUCUUGAAAGGAAGGUGUAAUCUCCUACAUUUUUUUGCAGAAUCAAGCAUGUUUCUAAUCCUUGCCCGAAAGUUUCCAUCGCUCGGUUCCUUAAGGCAUGAUGCCUCAUUUAUAUUAUCUUGUUUCAUUGUGUUUGUAUUCAUAAAAGUAAGGCAUGAUGCCUCAUUUAGCUUAUAUUAUCUCGGACUGUUUGUGCUCACAAAAUUAAUUUGCUUAUUUGUUCUUUUUUACGGCUAUAACAAUAGAGAAUUUGAUUGUUGAAAAUCUUAUAAAGAGAUCGAGGAUAAAAGCAUUGCAAGUAAACUCCACUUUUCUACCGUAUUUUUUAUGCACACCUUCUUAAUUUGUGUUCAGAGAAAGAUGUUGCUCUGUUGAGAAAAUGUUAUUAGAUGAAAAAUAUUUAGCAUUCAAAGUUUUUUCUCCAAAUGUUUUUGUGUGUGCAACUAUGAUCUGUUUUCCUUGCAGCCAAGCCAAUGGAUAUGUGCAGGGGGCUGCGAUGAGGCAGACGGCGGCAGGUGGUAGCAAUAGGGGUUGGCGGAUGCUCCGAGACCAUGAAGAGCCUAUUCAAUGAUGUGAAGCAUGACAUGGCGAAGGAGGAUCCCGAUAUGUUAGCCCCCACAAUCGCGCAGUUGGAGGGCAUGCACGAUCUCGGUAAAAUAAUGAAUUAUCAUCUCCCGCGUUUUCUCUUGAAGAUAAAGGUGUGCUCAGUCUGUACGAGCUCAAAGGCUGCUUCUUCUUUGUUCUGUUCAUCAAGGUUUGCCCCCUUCCUUUGUUGAUGUUAAUGAAUUGGCUUUGUUUUUUAUACUCAUGUGAUGCUUGUUGGUUAACUGGUGAUUUUACAUUUUGGAAGAGGGAACAACUAUUUCACUGUCUUGAGUGCAAAUGACAGUCCAACCUUUUAUGGAACACCAUGUCAUGAUUCGUAUGACCAUCAUGGAGCAUCACACGUUCUGGUUGGGUUAAGAGCAUUGCCUUUGCAUCUUUGGACAUUCAAAACAGUAGAUCACCUGUUGCACCCAUGGUGUGUCGUUGCUGAAAUUCACAAUAACUGUCUAUAUACCUAACCAUGUGAUUCAUAUAUACUUGUCAAACUUUCAUGCCACGCCACGGAUCAGUACUGGUUGAACUCGCGUAUGUGUUGCAACACUAGAAGGUAUGUUUCUAUUUCGUUCACUUUUUCCAUAAGCAGUUGCUGCCUCCUACACUACUGCAAAUAAUAUAUAUGUUGGUUCUGCACAGAACAUUUCCGUCCAGAGGAAAGGGUGUUGUAGUUCAGCUACCACUUGUCUAAAAGCUACCAGCAAAGUCUUCUAUCAUGUAUUUUUUACCAGUAGAAAACUAUUUAGACUAUUUAUGGGUUGGCUCUUUUGGCCAUCUAUUAACUGCUGCAAGGUUGUUGUAAUGAUAUUCUGCCUUGGGUGUCCUCUGCCUUGGUUUAUAGCUCAAUAUGACCUAUGUAUACAUAUGUAGGUUCUGUGAACUGUACUUAAAUUGCGCAGAUGUUUCCAUAUUCAUUCCUUUCUCUUUGUAACUCAUGAUUGUUAGAUAGUUGAAUAUCAUUGGUUUCUGUGGCAUUCUGUUUUUGCAGUUUGAAAUAAUUAUUGGUCCAUUGGUAUUAAACCUCGCAAUAGGUAGUGGCAUCUUCAAGUAAAAGUAGUGGCAGAUAUGCUGGACAUUUCUUUUCCGGUGCAGGAAUGAUAUUAUUGCCUGAGUCCUCGAAACAUAUUAUUUAAUUGCUUUAACUGAUAAAGAUGCAAAUUGUACAUGAAUUGCGAUGCUCUUGCUUUCAUGAUUAUGUGCUUCAGCACUUUAUUAUUGUUCCCAAAUACUGAUUUCUUGUGAUCUUUUGUAGAAUGUCCUAGAGAUGAAUGAUAUGGGCACAGAAAGUGCAGCUGCUCUCAAAGCACAUGCAAGAUGUUACAGCAGUAUACCCUAUGUUUAUUUGUAUAUUGUGCCCAUGAAAUUUGGGAUCGUUUCCAAUGUUUGACCAAAUAGAUGAUCAAACAAUAUAAAUGUUUGGUGAAAUAUGACCCUAUUGCUUCUAAAUUCUUGUUUCUGUAAACAACGUGGCUAAAUCACUGAUAUAAAAUGACUUGUUUCCA